rnacentral:rRNA from 1 species
AAGCGCGCGUAGGCGGUAAAAUAAGUCUGAUGUGAAAGCCCCCGGCUCAACCGGGGAGGGUCAUUGGAAACUGUUUUACUUGAGUACAGAAGAGGAGAGUGGAAUUCCAUGUGUAGCGGUGAAAUGCGCAGAGAUAUGGAGGAACACCAGUGGCGAAGGCGGCUCUCUGGUCUGUUACUGACGCUGAGGUGCGAAAGCGUGGGGAUCAAACAGGAUUAGAUACCCUGGUAGUCCACGCCGUAAACGAUGAGUGCUAAGUGUUGGGGGGUUUCCGCCCCUCAGUGCUGCAGCUAACGCAUUAAGCACUCCGCCUGGGGAGUACGACCGCAAGGUUGAAACUCAAAGGAAUCGACGGGGACCCGCACAAGCGGUGGAGCAUGUGGUUUAAUUCGAAGCAACGCGAAGAACCUUACCAAAUCUUGACAUCCUCUGACAACUGUAGAGAUACAGCUUCCCUUCGGGGCAGAGUGACAGGUGGUGCAUGGUUGUCGUCAGCUCGUGUCGUGAGAUGUUGGGUUAAGUCCCGCAACGAGCGCAACCCUUAAGUUUAGUUGCCAUCAUUAAGUUGGGCACUCUAGACUGACUGCCGGUGACAAACCGGAGGAAGGUGGGGACGACGUCAAAUCAUCAUGCCCCUUAUGAUUUGGGCUACACACGUGCUACAAUGGACAGGUUACAAAGGGCAGCAACGCCGCGAGGCCAAGCGAAUCCCAUAAAACUGUUCUCAGUUCGGAUUGGAGUCUGCAACUCGACUCCAUGAAGCUGGAAUCGCUAGUAAUCGUAGAUCAGCAUGCUACGGUGAAUACGUUCCCGGGUCUUGUACACACCGCCCGUCACACCACGGAAGUCGAUAACACCUGAAGCCGGUGGGCCAACCAUUUAUGGAGGCAGCCGUCGAAGGUGGGAUGGAUGACUGGGGUG